GACGAACGCUGGCGGCGUGCCUAAUACAUGCAAGUUGAGCGCUGAAGGUUGGUACUUGUACCAACUGGAUGAGCAGCGAACGGGUGAGUAACGCGUGGGGAAUCUGCCUUUGAGCGGGGGACAACAUUUGGAAACGAAUGCUAAUACCGCAUAAAAACUUUAAACACAAGUUUUAAGUUUGAAAGAUGCAAUUGCAUCACUCAAAGAUGAUCCCGCGUUGUAUUAGCUAGUUGGUGAGGUAAAGGCUCACCAAGGCGAUGAUACAUAGCCGACCUGAGAGGGUGAUCGGCCACAUUGGGACUGAGACACGGCCCAACCUCCUACGGGAGGCAGCAGUAGGGAAUCUUCGGCAAUAGACGAAAGUCUGACCGAGCAACGCCGCGUGAGUGAAGAAGGUUUUCGGAUCGUAAAACUCUGUUGGUAGAGAAGAACGUUGGUGAGAGUGGAAAGCUCAUCAAGUGACGGUAACUACCCAGAAAGGGACGGCUAACUACGUG
rnacentral:rRNA from 1 species